rnacentral:rRNA from 1 species
AACGAACGCUGGCGGCAGGCCUAACACAUGCAAGUCGAACGGAUCCUUCGGGAUUAGUGGCAGACGGGUGAGUAACGCGUGGGAAGCUACCUUGUGGUAGGGAACAACAGUUGGAAACGACUGCUAAUACCCUAUGAGCCCUAUGGGGGAAAGAUUUAUCGCCAUGAGAUGUGCCCGCGUUAGAUUAGCUAGUUGGUAAGGUAAUGGCUUACCAAGGCGACGAUCUAUAGCUGGUCUGAGAGGAUGAUCAGCCACACUGGGACUGAGACACGGCCCAGACUCCUACGGGAGGCAGCAGUGGGGAAUAUUGGACAAUGGGGGCAACCCUGAUCCAGCCAUGCCGCGUGAGUGAUGACGGCCUUAGGGUUGUAAAGCUCUUUCAGCAGUGAAGAUAAUGACAUUAACUGCAGAAGAAGCCCCGGCUAACUUCGUGCCAGCAGCCGCGGUAAUACGAAGGGG